rfam:Capsicum annuum cultivar Zunla-1 chromosome 9, whole genome shotgun sequence
UCUUCAUGAUUUGGGCAUUGAGCAAGCUUAUCGUUAAACCUUUCCCAAGCGUCAAAAAACGAUUCUUCAUUCAUUUGCUGAAAUUUACAAUCUCAUCCCAGUUUUGAAGCA